CUGCCUUCCAAGCAGAAGAUGUAAGUUCGAUUCUUACUACCUGC
rnacentral:tRNA from 1 species